ACGGGAGGCAGCAGUGGGGGAUAUUGCACAAUGGAGGAAACUCUGAUGCAGCAACGCCGCGUGAGGGAAGAAGGUUUUCGGAUUGUAAACCUCUGUUUUCGGUGAAGAAACAAAUGACGGUAGCCGAAGAGGAAGCCACGGCUAACUACGUGCCAGCAGCCGCGGUAAUACGUAGGUGGCAAGCGUUGUCCGGAAUUACUGGGUGUAAAGGGUGCGUAGGCGGGACUGCAAGUUGGAUGUGAAAUACCGGGGCUUAACCCCGGAGCUGCAGCCAAAACUGUGGUUCUUGAGUGGAGUAGAGGUAAGCGGAAUGCCGAGUGUAGCGGUGAAAUGCGUAGAUAUUCGGAGGAACACCAGUUGCGAAGGCGGCUUACUGGGCUCUAACUGACGCUGAGGCACGAAAGUGUGGGUAGCAAACAGGAUUAGAUACCCUGGUA
rnacentral:rRNA from 1 species